rnacentral:lncRNA from 1 species
GUGAUAGGCGGCUCCACGCAAGCAUUGAUGAGGCCAAGACAUCAUAGUGGCCGAGUCACCCUGUACAGACAGAUGAUCAGCAUGUAGAAACCGAUGCACAUAGGUAAUCUCAAUCCAUGCGGCUUGGAGCUCCGUAUAAGAAAUGAUCGGAUCAAAGAGGUGACUACCUUCGGCCGUUACAAUCUAGAAGCCAAAUCAUGAAUGACGAAGUCAGAUCCACCACUCCUAUUUCUGACACUAUCGUCAAAGUUGACCUUAAAAAAUCAUAGAGUAGGGGGCUCCCAGAUGACAAAGACACCUUAGGCUGCUACUUGAGCAGGUUGGGAGUCCUAGAUCUUUGAGGUUUCGAGGCCACAUCAAUCAUUUUAAUAGCCAAAGUCAAAGCUCGCUCCUAAAUGAAUUUCGUUGGGCAUCUUCUAACCUCAAAUACUAGAGCAUUACUAGCAAGCCAGAUCUACUAGGCUAUAUAGGCUGCUUGAAUACCAACUGACCGCAGUACUCC